UCAGGAGGAUCUAUGGUUAUCUGCUUUUCCUAUCGGUACUGAGUGGGAAAACAUUGAUAAGAUAAAGGAGUUCAACUGGAGCUUUGAAAAUUUAGAGAAAGCCUUAGAAGAAGGGGGCGAGCUUCAUGGUAAAACAGUUUAUCUGUUUGGAAGCACUGAGCCCCAACUAUUGGAUGUUAAUGGCGAAUCAAAGAUAGUGCUUAUUCCAAUUGUAGUUGCUGUA